AUUGAACGCUGGCGGCAGGCCUAACACAUGCAAGUCGAACGGUAACAGGAAGAAGCUUGCUUCUUUGCUGAUGAGUGGCGGACGGGUGAGUAAUGUCUGGGAAACUGCCUGAUGGAGGGGGAUAACUACUGGAAACGGUAGCUAAUACCGCAUAACGUCGCAAGACCAAAAAGGGGGACCUUCGGGCCUCUUGCCCUCGGAUGUGCCCAGAUGGGAUUAGCUAGUAGGUGGGGUAACGGCUCACCUAGGCGACGAUCCCUAGCUGGUCUGAGAGGAUGACCAGCCACACUGGAACUGAGACACGGUCCAGACUCCUACGGGAGGCAGCAGUGGGGAAUAUUGCACAAUGGGCGCAAGCCUGAUGCAGCCAUGCCGCGUGUAUGAAGAAGGCCUUCGGGUUGUAAAGUACUUUCAGCGGGGAGGAAGGGAGUAAAGUUAAUACCUUUGCUCAUUGACGUUACCCGCAGAAGAAGCACCGGCUAACUCCGUG
rnacentral:rRNA from 1 species